CUUCUUCUACAAGCCAUCCAUACACACAUACGUAUAGAAAAAGAAAAAAUACGCAAACACCUGAGAACACACUCCUCUUUCUCACCAAAAAAGUUAUCUCUAUCAGUCCCUUUUUGAGUUGCAUCACUGCCGAGAUCCCCAGAGCUCCAGCCAAGCGGGAAUGGAAAACCAGCCCCAUUUCUGCCAAUCUCACGUCGAACAGCCACUUCAUUGCUCUUUUUCAGUUUAAAUAUGGCCGGAAAACGUUAAUUUCGGCCACCAAUUCGUUUGUUCUUGAUGGAGUUUUGUUCGGAUUGAGUUUUGAGAAGUUCUCGUGGAUUUGGUUCAUCUUUCAAGGUUCGAGUUGAGGCGGGUUAGUUGAUCGAGGUUUUCGAGUACGGUUCUAU
rnacentral:lncRNA from 1 species